GCAGGUUCGCGUCUGAGUCCCUCGGGUCCGGCUUAGCGACGUCGGUCCGCGAGGCGAGCUCCGUCCGCUGCGGCUCCGCCGGCCCCGGGGUCCCCGUGAGACACGGGACGGGCCGCGCCGGCCCCACUGGGCCCUCGGAAGGACGGAGGGACGGGAGGUCGGAGGUCGGGAGGUCGGUCUCGGCACCCCCCGCGCCCGGAACUGUGCCCGCGGCCCUCCUCGUCCAGGACUCCCGGCUCCACGCGACUGGCUCAGCGGACCGCGGCCGACGUGUCGCUCCCCGCGGCCCCAGCGGCCCCGCCCCGGCACCGGACCAGGGCGACUCGGGCGGCGCCAGCUGGUCACUCCGGCGGCCGCGGCACGAUGGGCGCGGGACGGAGCGCGCUCUUCUCCGGAACUGAGGGUUCCCGCGAGCCCCCGGCCAGCGCGGCGGCUCGUCCAUGGUUCUCCUGCGGGUUCUGAGGGACCGUUGAGCAGCAGCGAACCUCUCUGGAUCCGUGCGGACUCGGCACGCGGGUCGCUCACGCUCUCUGCGGGCCGAGAGUGCAUGCAGGACGACAGUAAGACGGCGAUGACAUCAGCCCGGGCUUGUGACAGCUCUGGGGAUUUCCAGGGAGUCUCAAGGGAGGUUAUGAAAUUCUCAAAUUUUAAUUUGAAUCCAUUUUAAUAUUUUUUAAAGGGUGCCUGACCGGCUCAGUCAGUAGAGCAUCUAACUCCUGAUCUCAGGCUCGUGAGUUCAAGCCCUACACUGUGCGUGGGCCCACUUAAAAAGUAAAUAAAUAAAUAAAUGGCAUAUUAAAAAAUUAAUAAAAUGCAAAUGGUGCUUUGGCAACAGUAAGAACAAGUCAGGAAGUCCACAAACCCAUGAAGGCGUCUGCCCUAAAAGGCUAGAAAUUACCAAAUCAGCCCACACAGUAAAUAUUCCAUAACAAAGGCCUGUUGGACUUGGUCUCUGUCAUUGCAGAGUAAAGGGCUUUUAUUUGGUCACAUCUUUAUCAUUUAAGAAAAUUUUAAAAAUGAUAUUUUUAUUUCAACAUGUCAACUGUGCAUUUCCAAAACAGCAGGCUUUUCAAAGGAAUAAAUCAGAACUGUAAACACAAGACACAGUAUAAGUUUUUGACUUCCUAAAGUCAGUUUCACAAAUCCACAUACUGUACAUUCAUAGGUGAGGUUCAGCCCGUCAUCCAUUUCUUUAUUUCUAUAAUUACAUAAGCAUAAUAAAUACAUCUGAUUUUAAAGGUCACUUAAAA